AGAAUAAGUAUGUUUUUCUUAAGAUUGAAAGCACUUUCUUUCUUAUUCGAUACUCAUCAAAUUUACAUUAAGGCUUACUCCACUUAAACCGUAGUGAAUCACCUCAAACAUGAAGACCAUCAUAUAAUUAGUUCUUUGAGAUUGGAAUCUUAGAACUCAUUUUAUGUUCCUUCACAUUGCAAAGAUUGGAGUCAGCCACCACUCAAGAACAGGAGCAUCAAAGUUGACGUCAUUAAGGUUUGAAAUUCCACACUAAGAUUCAUUAAAGGUUGACGUCAAUCAGAGUUGUAUUCUCCAUAAUUCAAGACUUACUGAGAUCAUUCUCAUUCUUUAUCUCUGUACUUGGUUAUUAAGGUAGUAGUGACGAGAUAACAAGUCUUAAGCAGCGGGAUUUGAGGUAAAGAAAUUAAGUAGUUGUUAUGUGUUGAACUGCAUAAUUUAAAUUAUUUGUCUAUUGAAAUACUAUUUGUGAUGUAUUAUUAUGAAUGUGUAUAUAGUACUGAGAAUGUGUGGUAUGGACACAAUAUGAGUUUGUAAAUCGACAUAUAUUAUGGUUGAUACAAUUUGUAUGUUGUAUGUUGUAUGAUGUAUGUGGUGUGUUGUAUGUUGUAUGUUGUGUGCUAACGUCUCAGGUACAAAU